UGUUUUUAUGUGUGCACCCUGGAAGAUAGGUCCAGAAGCCUUGCGAUUUCUUAGAUUAAAGGUUAGUUCUAUGUUUGUACGAUUCGUGCAACUUUUGUUUGGUAUCAUUCCUAGCGUGUGGGUUCUAUUACUUUAUGCUAGCAGUGUGAUUAUUACCCUUUUGAUUCCUAUUACCCUAUGCUUUAUCUUUCAGCUAAGUGUACUCGUGACCCUACCAGCACUUUUCAAGAUACUUUCGACGUAUUCAUUGCGGUGAACAACGCGGUUGGGACAGCACACUCACGACGUGGGAAGGUCACAGAAAUGUUGAAAGACAUCAGAUUGGGCAUACGCUUCACCCGUGCAACUUCGUCAUGUGCUCCACGGCUUUACGGCUGUGCCACUGUAUGUAAAAAAUGCUGAGUGAUUUUAAUAAAGA